GAGAGGACAACGCCAGGACCAACCCCUGCUGUUAUAACUGUUCUCUCAGGGGCCAUUUUGGAUUUGACUGCUCAGUGAGGAGGAUGUUUGGGUGUUUCCCUCCCAACUCUCCCUUCAUCAACCAAUAUGACUCUCGCCUCCCAUCCGCAGCCGAGAUUACCGAGCUCAGCUCAGAGUUCAAGAGUUGAAGGAUGCAGGCCUGUUUCCGUGUCAGGUCUCACCAGACGGUGACGCCCGAGACGAUCCGCCGGGCAAACGCCAGAGAACCGACUCUAACCCGAGCUACAGGCCGUACCAGAACUACCCCCCUAAACCCUACCAUAGUGCUACUCCUAGCCGUACCCACAUCAGGUUCAGCGGAGACCAGGAGAAACCCUGGACUCCUAAACGCAAACUAAAGGAGAGCAGGGAGGGGAAGCGCUUCACUCCAGCUUCAGCCACGCCCAAAUCCAACAUGGCUGACAGGAACCAGCCGGGGAGUCAGGAAAGGCAGAAGAAGAAAAAACGGAAAACGGCCAAAAACAAAAUGGCCGCCGCCGCAGACGAGUCUCUUGACUUCCCCCGAGGACAAGGCCCCUCCACCAAGAGGAAGAAGAAGAAGGGGCCCAAGGGCCC